UUUUAUGGAGAGUUUGAUCCUGGCUCAGGAUGAACGCUGGCGGCGUGCCUAAUACAUGCAAGUCGAGCGAACGGACGAGAAGCUUGCUUCUCUGAUGUUAGCGGCGGACGGGUGAGUAACACGUGGAUAACCUACCUAUAAGACUGGGAUAACUUCGGGAAACCGGAGCUAAUACCGGAUAAUAUUUUGAACCGCAUGGUUCAAAAGUGAAAGACGGUCUUGCUGUCACUUAUAGAUGGAUCCGCGCUGCAUUAGCUAGUUGGUAAGGUAACGGCUUACCAAGGCAACGAUGCAUAGCCGACCUGAGAGGGUGAUCGGCCACACUGGAACUGAGACACG
rnacentral:rRNA from 1 species